CGUAGACCUUCUUGAUAUCUCAUCCUUUCGUUUCACUCACGUUUAAUUAAAUUUCCAGCUAUGCAACGAUGCGAAUUUUCGCGUAGUAAUCUGCGUUUGAAUUUUCUGAGAAAACAAAAGCAUCACGCCUGCGCGCGCAAUGGAUUGUGGGACAAGCGUAGAGCGCGUUGUUGAAUUGCGAUCGAGUCACACUAAACACAUUUUUUUUACACGAUUAUCGCGUUUUAUUGUUCUAAUUCCGUGAUUUCGAAAAAUAUGAAUACUGGAACGAUUCUGAAGCAGUCUAAUCGCCACCGCAAAAGUCAUGUACAAGAAUCUAUCCAACAAAACUGCACUCUCGACCAACGGUGCUAGCAUCGAUCUGAGGGAACCAAAUACCACAACCUGUUCCCAGCGUUCUAGCAAUUCGGCUGUUUUAGGAUUUCUAAUUUCCUCUACCCUCCGUGGACGAUUCUCUUCAAUAAAAUUUUCUGUAACUGCCAUGCAGUACCUGCAAAAUACAAAAAUUGCGUACCUGGCUUGUUCCGACAACAAAGACUGCUGUUCAACGCAAAUUAUGCACAUCUCGUGUCGAUAAGCGAGCGUUCUAGCGAGGUGGCCAAUUCCGGCUCCAACGUCGACAGCGCAUUCCGAUUUCGCCGAAGCAGCGCAAUCCGCUAUUAUCUGAAAAUUCAGCAAACCUUCAGAGUUUACAACGUUGAUUCUUGGCAAAUUAAACGGUACAGAAAUCGAUAAAAACUAACCACGAUGUAGGCGUCCAGAAGCCAUCGGUAUUUGUCAAGAACGAUAAAUAUUUGGCGUACGGUUUCUCGCACGG